rnacentral:rRNA from 1 species
UUGAACGCUGGCGGCAUGCCUUACACAUGCAAGUCGAACGGCAGCACGGGUGCUUGCACCUGGUGGCGAGUGGCGAACGGGUGAGUAAUACAUCGGAACAUGUCCUGUAGUGGGGGAUAGCCCGGCGAAAGCCGGAUUAAUACCGCAUACGAUCCACGGAUGAAAGCGGGGGACCUUCGGGCCUCGCGCUAUAGGGUUGGCCGAUGGCUGAUUAGCUAGUUGGUGGGGUAAAGGCCUACCAAGGCGACGAUCAGUAGCUGGUCUGAGAGGACGACCAGCCACACUGGGACUGAGACACGGCCCAGACUCCUACGGGAGGCAGCAGUGGGGAAUUUUGGACAAUGGGCGAAAGCCUGAUCCAGCAAUGCCGCGUGUGUGAAGAAGGCCUUCGGGUUGUAAAGCACUUUUGUCCGGAUAGAAAUCCUUGGCUCUAAUACAGUCGGGGGAUGACGGUACCGGAAGAAUAAGCACCGGCUAACUACGUG